AAUUAAGCAAAUUAAGGGCGUAUGGUGAAUGCCUUGGCACAAAAGAUCGAUGAAGGACGUAGUAGAUUGCGAUAAGCUUCGGGUAGCUGUCAAACGAGCUUUGAUCCGAAGAUCUCCGAAUGGAGUAAUCCAACUGGGAUUAUGCCCAGUUAUCAUGCAGUGAAUUCAUAGCUGUAUAGAAGAGCACGCAGGGAAGUGAAACCUCUCAGUACCUGCAGGAAAAGAGAACAAGAGUUUAUUCCCCUAGUAGUGGCGAGCGAAAAGGGAAGAGCCUAAACCUAUACUGUGUAAGAGGAAUACGAAGCCUGAUUCGCGUUGCGAUGAUGGCGGACUUGAACUCGCAGGUUGCUACUCGUGCAGUAUGGGUGUUGUAAGAGUUAAUGGAAGUGGUAGCAAACACUUCGAGGAGUUACAAAAUUCCAUUUUAGUAGAAUAUAUCUGGAAAGAUAUGCCAUAGAGAGUGAUAGCCUCGUAUACGAAAAUGUGGAAUCUCCUUUUUAAUUUCUUAAGUACCACGGAACACGUGAGAUUUUGUGGGAAUCAGCCGAUACCACUCGGCAAGGCUAAAUAUCUUUUGUGACCGAUAGUGAAUUAGUAUAGAGAGGGAAAGGUGAAAAGUACCCCUGUUAGGGGAGUGAAAUAGUAACUGAAACCAUAUGCUUACAAACAGUCGUAGCUGGUAUAUCCAGUGGCGGCGUGCCUAUUGAAGAAUGACCCAGUGAGUUCGUUGUGUGUGGCAAGGUUAACCAUGUUUAUUGGGGAGCCGAAGCGAAAGCGAGUCCGAAUAGGGCACCUUGAGUCACAUGCACGAGACCCGAAACCAGGUGAUCCAGCCAUGAGCAGAGUGAAGUUCUGAGAAAUCAGGAUGGAGGCUCGAACUCGUUAAUGUUACAAAAUUAUGAGAUGACUUGUGGCUAGCGGUAACAUGCCAAACGAACCUGGUAAUAGCUGGUUCUCCCCGAAAUAGCUUUAGGGCUAGCGUUGUGAUUUAAGAUGUGGGGGUAGAGCACUGAUUGAAUUUGGGACCCGAAAGGGUACCCACUUCAGUCAAACUCCGAAUACCAUAUUGAACAUCACAGCAGUUAGAGCUAGGGAUCUAAGUUCCUAUGCUCGAGAGGGAAACAGCCCAGAUCGUCAGAUAAGGACCCUAAAUUUUACCUUAGUGGGAAAGGAAGUGAAAUUUCUCAGACAGUUAGGAGGUUGGCUUAGAGGCAGCCAUCCUUUAAAAAAUGCGUAAAAGCUUACUAAUCAAGAGAUUUUGCACUUAAAAUUAACGGGGCUGAAGGUAAAUUCCGAAGCUGCGAAUUUAUACAUACUUCGGUAUGUAUGGGUGGUAGGGGAGCGUUCUAUACAUGACCGACUUAGCAGUCGGUAAUUAGCUGCGAAGGUGGCCCGUAAGGAGUUGCUGGAGCGUAUAGAAGUGAGAAUGCUGGGAUGAGUAACGUAAAGCAGGUGAAAACCCUGCUCGCUGAAUGUCUAAGGUUUCCAUGGCUAUGUCAGUCAACCAUGGGUUAGUCGGUCCUAAGGAGAGGCUGAAAAGCGUAUCCGAUGGAUAACAGGUUAAUAUUCCUGUACUACUGAUAUUUGAAAUGGAGUAUGAGGAUUGAAGAUGCAGGCCCCUUAUUGGUUUGGGGUGUAAGCAACAAGAGAGCUCUUCUAGGAAAAUCCGGAAGAGUGUUUCCACCUCGGUGGAUGAACGCGAGUUGUGAUACAAAGGUGACCUUCGGGAAGCCGAUUUGUAGUACUUAAUUCUCCAGGAAAAACUUCUAUCUUUAACUACUUCGGUAGUUAAUAAAGUAUUAGUAACCGUACUGCAAUCCGACACCGGUAGACUGGUGUAAAAGCACCAAGGCGUACGAGUUAUGCGUUGUUAAGGAAUUCGGCAAAUUGACCCCGUAAGUUCGCAAGAAGGGGGACUCUACAUCAUAAGUUUUUUAUUUGUGGUGAUUAGAGUGGCACAGAAUAGGGAAGAACGACUAGUUACCAAAACUACAGGCGCUUGCAAACUCGUAAGAGGAUGUAUAAGUGCUGACACCUGCCCAAUGCCAGAAGGUUAAGAUAAUUUGUUAGCUCUCUGCUGGGUGCACUUCGGUGCCCUAGUGGUUGCGAAGCAAAGAGUCGAAGCCCUGGUCAAUGGCGGCUGUAACUAUUAGACCUGGUGGGGUAGCAAUACCCUGCCAGGAAUUGUAGUUGUAAAAUUUGGCUAUAUGCUGGAACGUCUGAGUAUUUCUUGCUACUCAUUAGAUGAUAUUCAAAUUGUAAGAAAUUUGUAAUCUCUAGUAGUUAAAAUGUAAGAAUGCAGAUAAUCAGCAGGAAAGAUUUGUAAUGUCAGAUCCUAUUUUUACAGAACAAUUGAAAUGGUUUCUCUCUGGAUUUAUCGAUGGAGAGGGAAGCUUUUGUCUUAAUAUUAAGAGUAGAAAGGACUCUAGGUAUGGUUUGAGAAUAGAGCCAGCUUUUUAUGUUUAUCAACAUGAAAAAAGUGUCCAUAUACUUGAAUUGUUAAGAAAGAUGUUUGGAUGUGGAAGUAUCCAUAGAAAAACAUCACCGUAUAGCGUUUUUACGUAUCAGAUUUCUGGUAUAAAACCUUGCUAUACCAAAGUUAUUCCUUUCUUUGAGAAGUAUCCGUUAAUCGUAAAGUCUCAGACUUUUGAAAUUUUCAAAAGAGCUGUUGAUUUUAUGUAUAAAAAGCGACAUCUAACUAAGGAAGGUUUUCUUUACUUAGUGGAUUUAGCAUAUGAGAUAAACCAACAAGGGAAAGGUAAAAAAUGGGAUAAAGAGACAAUAAUUACAAAAAUCCUCAGAGACUAUACGCCAAACUCCUGAUAGGGAGAUGAGAUAGUCCGACCUGUAUGGCGACAUACAGAUGUAUAUAGAAAUAUAUACACGAAUCUAACAAACGUUGUUAGAGGGUAACACAAGUGAACGGUGGUAGAUAUAUAUCUACUGAGAUAUUUGCUAAUCUCGGUUUGCUAUCUAAAGAUAUAGGGCCGUUUUAAAAUCUAGCUAUAUGCUGGAACAUCCUAAACGAUACAAGUACCAAAGAGUAACAAUCUUGUAUUUAUGGACAAUCAGCAGGAAAGAUCCAAGAAAUUGGAAAUCCUCAGAGGCUACAUGCUAGACACAAUAUAAUAUUGUGAAGAUAUAGUCCGACCUCUACAGUGAUGUAGAGAGAUACACGAAGGUGUAUCCGCCUAAAAAUAGGUCUUCUAGUUUAAUGAACACUAGAUGGAAGUAACAGAAAUGCCUAAGGUAGCGUAAUACCUUGUCACUUAAUUAGUGACUUGCAUGAAAGGUGUAACGAUUUUUCCUCUGUCUCGACAACGUGCUCGGUGAAAUUGAAAUGGCUGUGAAGAUGCGGCCUACCUAUACCAGGACAAAAAGACCCCGUGGAGCUUUACUUCAGCUUUGCAUUGAGAUAAGGUCUCGGAUGUAUAGAAUAUGUGGGAGACUAUGAAGCAGUUUCGUCAGGAAUUGCGGAGUCGACAGUGUAAUACCACUCUUUUGAUAUUUUAUUUCUAACAGUAUCCAUUAUCUGGAUUCUAGACAGUGCAUGGUGGGAAGUUUGACUGGGGCGGUUGCUUGCUAAAGAGUACCGCAAGCGCACUAAGGUCUCCUCAACCCGGAUGGAAAUCGGGUGAAGAGUGCAUAAGCAUAAGGAGGCUUUACUGUGAGAGGGACACCUCGAUCAGUUACGAAAGUAGGUUUAAGUGACCCUUUGGUUGCGCGUGGAAGCGCCAUUGUUUAACGGAGAUAAGCUACCCCGGGGAUAACAGGCUAGUCUUGCCCGAUAGUUCAUAUUGACGGCAAGGUUCGGCACCUCGAUGUCGGCUCGUCGCAUCCUGGGAUUGGAUAAGAUCCCAAGGGUUGGACUGUUCGUCCAUUAAAGCGGCACGCGAGCUGGGUUCAGACCGGCGUAAGCCAGGUCGGUCUCUAUCCGGUAUAGGCGUUGUAUAUUUGAGAGAAUCGUCCCCUAGUACGAAAGGAUCGGGGAGUGGUAACCUCUGGUCUACCAGCUGUUCUACCAAGAGCAUGGCUGGGUAGCUAAGUUAUUAUCGGAUAAGCACUGAAAGCAUAUAAGUGCGAAGCCAAUCUCAAGAUUAAAUAUACUUGUGUAGCUUGACUACAUGGGAGGUCUGUGGAAGACUACCACAUUGAUAGGCUCUAAGUGUGAGUAUAGUGAUAUACUUAGCUGAGGAGUACUAAUUGACCAAAAGCUUCUUUGA
rnacentral:rRNA from 1 species